rnacentral:rRNA from 1 species
AACGAACGCUGGCGGCAUGCCUAACACAUGCAAGUCGAACGAGACCUUCGGGUCUAGUGGCGCACGGGUGCGUAACGCGGGAGAACCUGCCCUUAGGUUCGGAAUAACUCCCCGAAAGGGGUGCUAAUACCGGAUAAUGUCUUCGGACCAAAGAUUUAUCGCCUUUGGAUGGGCCCGGGUUGGAUUAGCUAGUUGGUAGGGUAAAAGCCUACCAAGGCGACGAUCCAUAGCUGGUCGGAGAGGAUGACCAGCCACACUGGGAAUGAGACACGGCCCAGACUCCUACGGGAGGCAGCAGUAGAGAAUAUUGGACAAUGGGCGAAAGCCUGAUCCAGCAAUGCCGCGUGAGUGAUGAAGGCCUUAGGGUUGUAAAGCUCUUUUACCCGGGAUGAUAAUGACAGUACCGGGAGAAUAAGCUCCGGCUAACUACGUG